CGUUCGCCUGGGGACUACGCGCACUAGCUUAAAACCCAAAGGACUUGGCGGUGCUUUAGAUCCACCUAGAGGAGCCUGUUCUGGAACCGAUAACCCCCGUUUAACCUCACCCUCCCUUGCUUAUUCCGCCUAUAUACCGCCGUCGUCAGCUUACCCUGUGAAGGCAGCAUAGUAAGCAAAACCAGUACAACUCAAAACGUCAGGUCGAGGUGUAGCAUACGGGAGGGGAAGAAAUGGGCUACAUUCUCUGGUUAAGAGAAUACGGAUAAUGACAUGAAAAAUCAUUUGAAGGAGGAUUUAGUAGUAAGCAAAAAGCAGAGUGUUUUGCUGAAACCGGCCCUGAAGCGCG
rnacentral:rRNA from 1 species